AUACGGAGGAUCCGAGCGUUAUCCGGAUUUAUUGGGUUUAAAGGGAGCGUAGGUGGGAUAUUAAGUCAGCUGUGAAAGUUUGGGGCUCAACCUUAAAAUUGCAGUUGAUACUGGUUUCCUUGAGUACGGUACAGGUGGGCGGAAUUCGUGGUGUAGCGGUGAAAUGCUUAGAUAUCACGAAGAACUCCGAUCGCGAAGGCAGCACACCGGACCGGAACUGACACUGAUGCUCGAAAGGGCGGGUAUCAAACAGGAUUAGAUACCCUGGUAGUCCGCACAGUAAACGAUGAAUACUCGCUGUUUGCGAUACACGGUAAGCGGCCAAGCGAAAGCGUUAAGUAUUCCACCUGGGGAGUACGCCGGCAACGGUGAAGCUCAAAUGAAUUGACGGGG
rnacentral:rRNA from 1 species